UUAACUCUUAUUUGAUCUGAUCUUGUUGUGUUGUGUCCCCUGCAGAUGGAUUACAUCAUUGGUCGAAACCCACAAAACAUGAGCUAUGUUGUGGUGACGCAUACUACCUUGAGCGUGUAACCAGUUACGAUUUGGCUGAUAGAGCUGGUGUUGAAACUGAUUCUGUAACCUCUGUUUUUGUUGAAACUGAUAUAUUUGUUGUUUUUUUUUGUUAAAACUGAUACUGGAUUUGAUUAUGUGUGUGUUGUAGUUGUUGUUGACGAGGUUGAGGAUCUUCCCAGGCCCAGGGUAUCUGUAUGAAGAGAUGCUAAGCG
rnacentral:lncRNA from 1 species